GCCUGGUGUGGUGGCGCACGCCUGUGAUCCUAGCAGCUCAGGAGGCUGAGGCAGGAGGACUGAAGGUUCGGAGCCAGCCUCAG
rnacentral:sRNA from 1 species